AUUGAACGCUGGCGGCAGGCCUAACACAUGCAAGUCGAGCGGAUGAAGGGAGCUUGCUCCUGGAUUCAGCGGCGGACGGGUGAGUAAUGCCUAGGAAUCUGCCUGGUAGUGGGGGAUAACGUCCGGAAACGGGCGCUAAUACCGCAUACGUCCUGAGGGAGAAAGUGGGGGAUCUUCGGACCUCACGCUAUCAGAUGAGCCUAGGUCGGAUUAGCUAGUUGGUGGGGUAAAGGCCUACCAAGGCGACGAUCCGUAACUGGUCUGAGAGGAUGAUCAGUCACCCUGGAAGUGAGACACGGUCCAGACUCCUAAGGGAGGCAGCAGUGGGGAAUAUUAGACAAUGGGCGAAAGCCUGAUCCAGCCAUGCCGCGUGUGUGAAGAAGGUCUUCGGAUUGUAAAGCACUUUAAGUUGGGAGGAAGGGCAGUAAGUUAAUACCUUGCUGUUUUGACGUUACCAACAGAAUAAGCACCGGCUAACUUCGUG
rnacentral:rRNA from 1 species